rnacentral:rRNA from 1 species
GACGAACGCUGGCGGCGUGCCUAAUACAUGCAAGUUGAGCGAUGAAGAUUGGUGCUUGCACCACUUUGAAGAGCAGCGAACGGGUGAGUAACGCGUGGGUAAUCUGCCUUUGAGCGGGGGACAACAUUUGGAAACGAAUGCUAAUACCGCAUAACAACUUUAAACAUAAGUUUUAAGUUUGAAAGAUGCAAUUGCAUCACUCAAAGAUGAUCCCGCGUUGUAUUAGCUAGUUGGUGAGGUAAAGGCUCACCAAGGCGAUGAUACAUAGCCGACCUGAGAGGGUGAUCGGCCACAUUGGGACUGAGACACGGCCCAAACUCCUACGGGAGGCAGCAGUAGGGAAUCUUCGGCAAUGGACGAAAGUCUGACCGAGCAACGCCGCGUGAGUGAAGAAGGUUUUCGGAUCGUAAAACUCUGUUGGUAGAGAAGAACGUGGGUGAGAGUGGAAAGCUCAUAAAGUGACGGUAACUACCCAGAAAGGGACGGCUAACUACGUG